rnacentral:ncRNA from 1 species
UCUGUUAAGGUUCGCAUAACAGCGAUUAAAAGGGAAUGGUGGUGAAAAUCCCCAACUGUCCCGCAGCAGUGAGUUCCUUUGAACGCCUCUGACAGCAAGUCCACUGUUUUCACCGGAAGUGAAAAUGGGAAGGAGUCUGAGGCUGGAACGAAGUCUGAAGACCUGCCUUGCAGA